UUAAUACUGGAAAUAUAGGUAAUAGGAUAGAUGAUAUUGCAUGAAUAGUCGGAAUGUAGGUAAUAUAUUAUACACAGACUGGAAUCCCAUAUCUGGGAGUGAAAAUGACAGUAAAAGAAUAAAUACACUGUAAAUUUCUUACAAUUGCCUGUGAGUUACAUAAAUAGAUUACCCUGCAAUUUUGUAUACUUGGUCGCGAAUUCGCGUUAACCGUAAAUGUAGGGGUUAAACUUUUGAUUUAAGCAAAACAGAUACUUCUAUUUCCCAAGUUCAAAUUAUAUUCCGAAAGGGGUAUAACUUAAACCUGAGUGACGGCUUCUGGUAUGAGAGCGAAUUGGUAAUUAGAAAAGUUGUAACAAUGGUAUUCCACAUUAUCAUCGUGACUUAACAAACACAUCACAACAUUUUCUUUCAAGUUACGGAUUGCUGCGG